CAGGAAACUUCCUGAAUAGAAUUUUAUGUUAGAAUAACUGCUAUGAAUACAGGAAUGAAGGGAGUCCAAACGCCAACAUUUAUCCUCUUUUCUGAUCAGAGGCAUGGGACUUCUGAUCUGACACACCUGUUUCUGUAUCCCAGUAAGAGUCCCAGACGCAGAUUCAACAUCAGAGUCUAACUUCUGAGAAAUCCACACUGGAAAGCACAUGAAUACGGAUGCAACACAUGAAUGUCGGUGCAUUUGCUUCAGAAGAGACCUCAGCUAAGUUCCUAAGUGUUGUAAUUAGAUAUCUACAUUAAAGUAGGAUUAAAACAGGUCUACUAAAGAAAUGAAGUUGUUUUUUUAUCCACUAACAGACAACAGAGGAAAAAUAAGAUUAAAUAAGUGCAGUGUUGUCCCUUUCCCAACCCCCCUUCCCCUCCCCCAUUUUUUUUAACUAUAUGCACCAAUGGGAUUGAAAUGUUGCUGAGCUAUUACUGUCAGUUCUCUGUCUUAGAAAAGGCAGGGGAAGAAUUAAAACAGGCUGCAAUCCAGCAGCUAGGCAGGGGUCUGUUACUCUAAGCACAGCUGGAGGGCUGCAGGGAACAGAUGCACAGUGUUACAAGUGCCAGCUCUGAUAGUUACAUGCUGUAGUACAGAAGAGCCCUUAGUCAGGUAAGUGCUUUCACAUGAGUUUUAGUUAUUACUAUUAGUGGAAGGCUGAGUAACAUUAAACCAACAUGAAAACUGACUAAAGGUUACAGAAUUUGUUAUUACAAAUCUUUUGCAGUUAGCUUGGAGUCCUCUUGGGGUGAGGGUGGUAGAGGUAAGAGCAAGUGUUGUAACAUGAGAUCUGACAUCAUCUGAUUUAUUCAUUUGUUUUUAUUGUUACCUACUUAAUUCAUCACUUAAAAAUGAAAUUAUUAUAACUAAAUCUUGGCCAUAGCCACAAAAAGAGUCAUCUUGGAAUGGACUAGAGAAACAGCACGCUCGUAUUUGAGUUUGUAGAAUCAUAGAAUAACAAAAUGGAAUCACAGAAUGGUUUGAGUUGGAAGGGAGCUUAAAGAUCAUCUAGUUCCAACCCU
rnacentral:lncRNA from 1 species